rnacentral:rRNA from 1 species
GUUGUUCCCCAACAAUUACACAAAAUGUCAAGCGGGCGAGGGUAAUCCCCGGAAAGUGAACUUAAACGCCUCCCUGCCGCCCUGUUUGAAAUGGGUAACGACUUAUCACUAAAUGUGCCCUGUUUUGGACUGGGACCGAUCAGGCUGUUGGUGAGUUUGCUCCCCCCAAACCUGCCCUCACCACGGGCUCUGAUAUGAGGAGCCCCCAUAUGGGCUGUGGGACUUCAAUGGAUCACCUGAUUUGCCCCCCACGCGCCAAACCUCUGCUGCCUCUCCCAGCUCCUAGGGUUACUCUGAUUGAUUUCCGUUAAGGAGAUCUUUUGGGAUUCUAAAAAAGACUUGUAAAAACGGGUGGGGAAGUUUGGUGUCCACUAAACGUCCCAACCCCUCACCCCGAUGGGAUUGCACCUUUAUUGGGCCCAAAACAUGCGUACCCCGUUUUCUGCAUCAUUUUUUAAAUCCACCUGCUUUCUCCAUGGGCUGAAUAACAUACUAUAAACCUGUGAAGCUUUAGACGAUAGCGGUAGUUUCUGGCCAGGGGUAACACCCAUUGAUUCAUUCCUUGUCACCAUGCCCAUCUGCGGCUUGCUCCUCUCCGAUCCACUAUCAGUUAUGAGUGCUGUGGGAGAAUACCUCACUAAAUACCUGAUUAGUCGCAGUUGUAUCCGAUGCACACAUAGUGAUGAGUCGGUACACUGUUCACACGUGGUGACAUAGCACGCGUUAUCUUCGCUUUCUGGAGGUUACCGACGCCCGACUGGCACGUAGACGAAUUGUUACGGAAGCA